rnacentral:tRNA from 12 species
GGGCCUAUAGCUCAGUCGGUUAGAGCAGCGGACUCAUAAUCCGUUGGUCCCCAGUUCGAGUCUGGGUGGGCCCACCA